rnacentral:rRNA from 1 species
AGAGUUUGAUCCUGGCUCAGGAUGAACGCUGGCGGCGUGCCUAACACAUGCAAGUCGAACGAUACCCUGUCUUCGGAUUGGGUAUAGUGGCGAACGGGUGAGUAACACGUUGGUGACCUGCCCCGAAGACGGGAAUAACCCUUCGAAAGGAGGGCUAAUACCCGAUGUGCUUGUGCUGUUUAGAAGAGUGCAAGUAAAGCUCCGGCGCUUCGGGAGGGGCCAGCGGCCUAUCAGCUAGUUGGUGAGGUAAUGGCUCACCAAGGCGAAGACGGGUAGGGGGCGUGAGAGCGUGACCCCCCACAAUGGAACUGAGACACGGUCCAUACUCCUCCGGGAGGCAGCAGUGAGGAAUAUUGCACAAUGGGGGAAACCCUGAUGCAGCAACGCCGCGUGGGUGAAGAAGGCUUUCGGGUCGUAAAACCCUUUUCCAGGGGAAGAGCAAGGACGGUACCCUGGGAAUAAGUCCCGGCUAACUACGUGCCAGCAGCCGCGGUAAAACGUAGGGGGCGAGCGUUAUCCGGAAUUACUGGGCGUAAAGCGCGUGCAGGCGGCUUGGUAGGUUGGACGUGAAAGCUCCUGGCUUAACUGGGAGAGGCCGUUCAAAGCCGCCAGGCUUGAGGACGGAAGAGGGGAGUGGAAUUCCCGGUGUAGUGGUGGAAUGCGUAGAUAUCGGGAGGAACACCUGUGGCGAAAGCGGCUCCCUAGUCCGUAUCUGACGCUCAGACGCGAAAGCGUGGGGAGCGAACGGGAUUAGAUACCCCGGUAGUCCACGCUGUAAACGAUGGAUGCUAGGUGUGGGAGGUCUUGACCCCUUCCGUGCCGUAGCUAACGCGUUAAGCAUCCCGCCUGGGGACUACGGCCGCAAGGUUAAAACUCAAAGGAAUUGACGG